GACGAACCGUGCGAACGUUAUUCGGAAUCACUGGGCUUAAAGCGCGUGUAGGCGGGACGGCACGUCUGUCGCUGAAAUCCCCCGGCUUAACCGGGGAACUGGCGGAGAUACGACCGUCCUGGAGGGGCGUAGGGGGACCUGGAACUUCCGGUGGAGCGGUGAAAUGCGUUGAGAUCGGAAGGAACGCCCGUGGCGAAAGCGAGGUCCUGGACGCCUACUGACGCUGAGACGCGAAAGCCAGGGGAGCGAAUGGG
rnacentral:rRNA from 1 species